rnacentral:rRNA from 1 species
GGGUAGCGUACAGGAUUAGAUACCCUGGUAGUCCACGCCGGUAAACUUUGUAUGCUCGAUGUGGGUGUCAUCCAGUGACAUCCGUGUCUAAGCUAACGCGUUAAGCAUACCGCUUGGGGAUUACGAUCGCAAGAUUAAAACUCAAAGGAAUUGACUGGGGGCUCCGCACAACCGGUGGAGCAUGUUGCUUAAUUCGAUGCAACGCGAAGAACCUUACCCAGGUUUGACAUAUACUGGCCCGACUGUGAAAGCAGUUUUUUCUUUCGAGAACCAGUGUACAGGUACUGCAUGGCUGUCGUCAGCUCGUGCCGUGAGGUGUUCGGUUAAGUCCGGCAACGAGCGCAACCCCUAUGGUCAGUUGCCAGCGCGUAAUGGCGGGGACUCUGGCCAGACUGCCCGUGUUAAGCGGGAGGAAGGUGGGGAUGACGUCAAGUCAGCAUGGUCCUUACAUCUGGGGCUGCACACGUGCUACAAUGGCUGGUACAAAAGGUCGCAAUACCGCGAGGUGGAGCUAAUCCUCAAAACCAGCCUCAGUUCGGAUUGGAGUCUGCAACUCGACUCCAUGAAGUCGGAAUCGGUAGUAAAGGUGGAUCAGCCACGUCACAUUGAAUUCGUGCCCGGGCAUUGUACACACCGCCCGUCACAUCAUGGAAGCCGGGUGCACUCGAAGUUUUCGUUUUUACGAGACCUAAGGUGUGUUCGUGACUGGGAUGAAGU